CCAGGGGUUUUUUUUUGGUGGGUUUUAAAAGUGGAGAGAGAUUUGUUAAAAUCCUUUAAACCUCAUGAGUUGUUUCUGUAAUUAUCCCUAAUUUUAUUGUGUAGGAUAUCUUAGUUUUGAUUUUUUUUAAAGGCAUCUAAAUAUUGAUUUGUCAUUGUUUAAGGGUAAUUUUGAUAUAUAAUUUUUUUGUAUAUAAAACAAAAGGCCUUUGUUUUAUUUUGUUUUAUUUGCCAUAUUUAGGAAGGGGAGGGGAAUUUUCUCACACACACAUUGUCAAGGUACCAUGGGAGUUCCAAACAAAAAGCCUUUAUGAUUAAAUUUUCCCCGAGUUGUUGUCAUUUAAAGAAAAUAUAUAUGUAUAUAUAUGGCUUAUUAUUACAAAAUGUCCCUAAGAUUUAUGAAACUAUCAUAUUGCAUCCUUAAUAUUUUUUUUGUCACUCGUGGUCCUCAAGAUUAGUAUGUGCGAUCAGAAAUGGUCCCUACCGUUAGGUUCUAUCAAAAAAUCAUUAGUUUGCUAAUGUGACAUAUAUAUAAAUCACAAAACAUCCUUGAGGUUCACACACCUUUCACAAAUGAUCCAUACAAAAUUUUUUAAUUUUUUUAAUUUAAAAUUCAUAAAAUUUUGGUUUUCCUUUUAAAAUUCAUAUAUGUAUAUAUAUAUAUAUUUCAAAGUCAACGGGAUCUAACCCAAUGAAAAAUAGCUUUAAUUUAUAGACUAGUGGUCUCAUGUUCAAACCCCCUAUAACACCUUAAUUAAUUUGUGUAAGAAAGCCUCUUCUUUAGAUUAUUCUUGUACUAAAAAAGAAAGAAAGAAUUUCAAAAUAACACUACUUCAUUAUAAAUGGACAAAUACAUAAAAUAAUAGUCUAUAUUAGAAUAAAAAUAUUUAAAGAAAUAAAAAAAUAAAUAAGAGUUCAUUUCCAACAAAAGUUUGUACAUAUAAAGAUAAAAUAAAAAGC
rnacentral:lncRNA from 1 species